rnacentral:tRNA from 1 species
CGGCGUGUAGCUCAGCCAGCAGAGCGCCAGGCUCGGGACCUGGAGGGCGCGGGGGCGGAACCCGCCACGUCGGCCA